AACAAACACUGGCGGCGUGCCUAAUACAUGCAAGUCGAACGGGGUAGCAAUACCGAGUUGCGCACGGGUGAGUAACGCGUGGAUAAUCUGCCUUAGAGUGGGGGAUAACUAGGCGAAAGAUUAGCUAAUACCGCAUAAGAACACAAGAACUGCGGUUCAAGGGGUCAAAGGUUUUUCGCUCUAAGAUGAGUCCGCGUAAGAUUAGCUAGUUGGUGAGGUAAUGGAUCACCAAGGCGACGAUCUUUAACUGGUCUGAGAGGAUGAUCAGUCACACUGGAACUGAGACACGGUCCAGACUCCUACGGGAGGCAGCAGUAGGGAAUAUUGCACAAUGGAGGAAACUCUGAUGCAGCGACGCCGCGUGAGUGAUGAAGGCCUUCGGGUCGUAAAGCUCUGUCGCAGGGGAAUAACACAAUGAAUGUACCCUGUAAGAAAGGAUCGGCUAACUUCGUGCCAGCCGCCGCAGUAAAAC
rnacentral:rRNA from 1 species